rnacentral:rRNA from 1 species
UACGAAGGUCCCGAGCGUUGUUCGGAAUCACUGGGCGUAAAGGGAGCGUAGGCGGCGUGGUAAGUCAGAUGUGAAAUCCCGGGGCUCAACCCCGGAACUGCAUCCGAUACUGCCGUGCUCGAGGGUUGGAGAGGUAGCUGGAAUUAUCGGUGUAGCAGUGAAAUGCGUGGAUAUCGAUAGGAACACUCGUGGCGAAGGCGAGCUACUGGACAACAUCUGACGCUGAGGCUCGAAGGCCAGGGGAGCAAAAGGG